UACGUAGGGAGCAAGCGUUGUCCGGAAUCAUUGGGCGUAAAGCGCGCGUAGGCGGCCCCGUAAGUCCGUUGUGAAAGUCAAAGGCUCAACCUUUGAAAGCCGAUGGAUACUGUGGGGGCUAGAGUCCGGAAGAGGCGAGUGGAAUUCCUGGUGUAGCGGUGGAAUGCGCAGAUAUCAGGAGGAACACCAAUAGCGAAGGCAGCUCGCUGGGACGGUACUGACGCUAAGGCGCGAAAGCGUGGGGAGCGAACAGG
rnacentral:rRNA from 1 species